rnacentral:tRNA from 1 species
GCUUUCAUAGCUCAACUGGUAGAGCAUCUGAUUUGUAAUCAGGAGGUUGUGGGUUCGAUUCCCUCUGGAAGCU